UUCAAGGCAUCCAUCUCUGGGCACUCAGCAGUUGUGCCACCACAGCAGCUGUGUGCAGGGCUGUCCCAAGUCACGACAGCAAAAGAGAGCUGCACAGGCACUUUUCAUGGCAAAGACGGAAUGAAAAUGUCCUCAGGACUGGAGCAUGAGAGAAAAUGGCAUUUACUGUUUACACUUUUUGGAACCUGCGCAAGUGCAAAACACGAUCAGAGCAGCUGUGAAGUGAAACAUAACCUGGCGGUCAGACACUCACGCCACACUGAUUGCACCCAGAAGGAGACUGAGGACAGGAUGGAAGGCAGAUCCAUAGAUGCUGAACUGCAGAAUUCUGCCUUCUGACAAGAGAAAAGUUCUGGAAUCCAACUGUUCAUUUUUGGUUCCCCAUCCUGUGGGAACUGAAGUGACCACUCAGCCAGAAGGCAAGGAGGGGCAUGGCAGUGGCAACAGAGGCUUUAAACAAUCUUUUGUGCUGCCUGUGUGGAGCUCAGAAGUAUCCUGUGAAGAUUUAUGUGGGAAUUAGAUCAUGCCUGUGAUUACUACCCAUUGAACACAGGAAGAAGUGAAAACCUGUGGAUGUAAUUUUUAGCAAUUCUACAGAAGCCUACACCAAAAAUUACCAGUUUGGCAUCUGGCUUUGUGAAUAUACUAAUCUUACCAACAUUAAAAGCACUUAUAAUUGCACCCUGACCUUUAGAUUUUGGGACUUACACAGCUAAAAUAAUCUAAUUAUCCCAGGCUGUCUGCUGAUGAAUUAUCCUUUCAAAUUCUCCUAUUAACAGUCUGUAACUAUGAAAUAUACUGCACUACAUAUUUUUUUCCCAA